rnacentral:rRNA from 1 species
CCUACGGGAGGCAGCAGUGGGGAAUAUUGGGCAAUGGGCGCAAGCCUGACCCAGCAACGCCGCGUGAAGGAAGAAGGCUUUCGGGUUGUAAACUUCUUUUAAGAGGGAAGAGCAGAAGACGGUACCUCUUGAAUAAGCCACGGCUACCUACGUGCCCGCCGCCGCGGUAAUACGUCGGUGGCAAGCGUUGUCCGGAUUUACGGGGUGUAACGGGCGUGCAGCCGGGAAGACAAGUCAGCUGUGAAAUCCCGCGGCUCAACCGCGGAACUGCCUUUGAAACUGUUUUUCUGGAGGACCGGAGAGGGCAGCGGAAUGCCUUGGGUAGCGGGGAAAUGCGUAGAUAUAAGGAAGAACACCAGUGGCGAAGGCGGAUGACUGGACGGCAACGGACGGGGAGGCGCGAAAGCGUGGGGAGCAAACAGGAUUAGAUACCCGAGUAGUC